rnacentral:rRNA from 1 species
UUUAUGGAGAGUUUGAUCUUGGCUCAGGACGAACGCUGGCGGCGUGCCUAAUACAUGCAAGUCGAGCGCGGGAAGCAAGCAGAUCUCCUUCGGGGGUGACGCUUGUGGAACGAGCGGCGGACGGGUGAGUAACACGUGGGCAACCUACCUGUAAGACUGGGAUAACCCCGGGAAACCGGGGCUAAUACCGGAUGAUACAUAUCGUCGCAUGACGAGAUGUUGAAAGGCGGCAUAUGCUGUCACU